rfam:Blastomyces gilchristii SLH14081 genomic scaffold supercont1.3, whole genome shotgun sequence.
CUCAUCACAACAAAUCCAGAUCUGUGUCCAGCAGUCCUGAUCCAACCAGGGUAUUCGUACCCUGGCUGUGUUUCGGUUGCUAUUGCUGGACAGCUCGACGAUUCAUGGAGCCAUCGAGGGGGAAUCAUUUUCUAACAAAAAAUCUUCCCUUGCAAAAAAUGGUGUCAAUUUCCGGUCGACAGAUCUCAGAGAGAAUCUCAGCGGCCCGGUUCUUCUUUAUUGAACUAACACUCAGCCUUGAGCUCCCUCCCCGUUUCGGCGGGUUGGUGAAUUCGGUGAGGUGGCCGGGUUCCUGCUGAGGGCGUCAUAUUCCACCUCCCUUUACCGAUUUCUUUUGGCCGUCGGCUGAUGAGGUUAGGGAAAAACCAUGACUUGCCAACAUAU